GAAAGACCGAAUUGGAAAAAUGCGAAUGCCGAGGCAUAGAUGAGCAUACUCCUUAUUGGACUUAGACCCCAGAAGAGAAAGGACUAAACAUGACACUACCAUCUGUGAUUUCAAGAGCAUGCAGGUUCUUCACACCUUACAUGAGCUGCUCUUGUGGAGACAAAAAUGGACCCUCAAACCUGCCUUCAUAUCAAAUAUCAGGAAGCUUCCAGAGACAUGGAGCAGAUGUUGGGAAGAGGCUCAGGGGUUCAAGUUCCCUGGAAGGGAAAUGCAAGCCUGGGAGUAUUACGUAGAGACUUAUUUGUUCCUUUUAGGAGCUAAGGCC